rnacentral:miRNA from 1 species
UGGGGUGAGGUUGGAAGCUA